ensembl:lncRNA
UUUCUUCAUUUCGCUACUGCAACCAGGAAUUUGCAUUGUAUAAAACAACAGAUGCGAUAGUAUUUAAUAAUAUUUUGUGCAUAUGAGUUGGGAUUUUGGGGUUUGGUUUUACCUCCUUUAAAGUAUAAAAACAAUUAAGAGAGGUUUGAAAUGACUUUGAAAACGAGAUUUUAUGGCUGAGUAAUUUCAUCACAUCGUCUCUUUCAAAAAUGUUGACUUUUUGUUGCAGCAGAAUGCUGUAAAUAAUUUACAUGAUUUCAUGACGUUUCCCAUACGCAGCAGUGUGAUGCUUUUUUUAGGAGAACGCUUCAAUACAUGUGAGAGUAAAGGAGAUUUUUUAUUUUAUUUAAAAUUUUCCCAAAAAAUACGUAAGCGUUGUAUUCAAAAUAUAAUGUUCCUCCAAGCCCCAUUUCCGAAACAUUUAACGCACCCCGGAAUAAAGUCCUGUGUGACACACACCUGCGUUUAUUUUAAAAUUGGGGUUUUAAUGAUUUCAGAUCCCCGCCUCUCUCUCUCUCUCUCUCUCUCUCUCUCUCUCUCUCUCUCUCUCUCUCUCUCUCUCUCUCUCCCUCUCGCUCCCUCCCUCCCUCCCUCCCUCUCUCUCCCUGCGAGGCGGAGUUUAUCCCCUCUGCUCACCGUGUGGACCGUCUUCACUUGUCAGUAGCAGUCCGCAUGUUUGAGGGAGAGGACACGUGCGAGUCUCUGGAGACAUAAGACACUUCUUUAACACUCGGCUCUUUUGCGUUAUUAGAUUAUUAGACCAGAUGUUCUGUCAACGCGGGGAGAGAAUCCGAGGCGGAAUUUGAACGGGUCGCAGGGUUCGACUGGCGGAGCGGAGUCAGCCCGAUGUGCAAGAAAAUGUCGACCCCCUCGUCCCUGAAGACGGAAGGCAACUACCAUCGGACAGGACAACGAGUCACCUUACAGAUUAAUGAUGUUAGAACAACCGAACUUCCUUCCACUGACCCACAUUCCAUUCAGAUUGGACUGGAACAUUCUCUUUUUUUUUCGAAAGAUAAAAGCUUCUGACACAAAAUUGUUUGUGAUCGACAGUCACUCCUUUGUCCCUUUGAGCUUAGACACAUGGUAACGAAUGUAAAGUUGAACCGCUAAAUAUAUUUAAAUCCAAGAAAUAUCGCAUCGUAUUGACAGAGAGACUUUGAAAUAUAUUUUUGCACUCAAUAUGGGUUUUAAAAGUGAAAUAGCAAGUGCAUUUUUAGGCUUGAUAAAUAAUAUAUUAAAAUGUAAUAUAAUUAAAUGUAUUUUUCUAAAUAUACUAUGAUGCAUUUUAUAAACCAAUAUCUGAUUGUGGGUUUGCUUUCAUGGAUCCUGUUGUACUUUGCGGGAAAGUCAUUGGAAAUUGGGUUUUUAAGUUCUAUUAUUUUAAGUUACUUUAAGUCCAUCGAUCACCAAUGUCUGGAUUUCAGGGUUUAAUUAAUAAAUUAACGCCCUGAGGUGUCAUUUGUUGAAACUGUGUAAAUUGUGAAAAUGUGGUAAAUAAAGAGAACAGCAGAGAACAGAGACUUUGACAUUUUUACCUAUUGAAUACUUUUUGUAAUUGAAAAUGUAUUUGACGAUACUCAGAUUUGUAUUAUUAUAAUUAAAAAAUGAAAAAUGUAUUUCCUGUUUUUUGUUUUCUAGAAAUGAGUUGCUUCUACUAAGACAGUUCUAGUCUGACAGAAUCAUUUAACGGAGGAAAUAUCAAACAACCAAAAUAAAAACACACAAUUAAGUAAAUUAAUA